CCUACGGGAGGCUGCAGUGAGGAAUAUUGGUCAAUGGGAGCGAUCCUGAACCAGCCAAGCCGCGUGAGGGAAGACGGCCCUAUGGUUUGUAAACCUCUUUUGUCGGGGAACAAAACCCGGGACGUGUCCCGACCUGCGUGUAUCCGAAGAAAAAGCAUCGGCUAACUCCGUGCCAGCAGCCGCGGUAAUACGGAGGAUGCGAGGGUUGUCCGGAUUUAUUGGGUUUAAAGGGUGCGUGGGGGGUCCGUUAAGUCAGCGGGAAAAUUGCGGGGCUAAACCCCGUAGAGCCGUGGAAACUGGCAGACUUGAGUGGGCGAGAGGUAGGCGGAAUGCGCGGUGUAGCGGUGAAAUGCAUAGAGAUGGGGAAGAACUCCGAUUGCGAAGGCAGCGUACCGGAGCCAGACUGACGCUGAGGCACGAAAGCGUGGGGAUCGAACAGGAUUAGAUACCCCAGUAGUC
rnacentral:rRNA from 1 species